rnacentral:lncRNA from 1 species
GCGGCGAAGAGUACUCGAAGAGGCCAGCACGGCGGACGAGUGAAAGGUUAUCAUUAUCUCAUCAAGCGAGUAAUUACGAGAGAGAGAGAGAGACAAGGAACGAUGAAGAUGCAAGUAGGAAGAGGACGAAGGUAAAGAAAAUGAUCUAACUGUUAUCCGACUUAAUAACUCGGACGUGUUUAAACGUGGCUUCGUAAUGAUGGGUUGGCGCGAUUGCGCGACAUAAACUGGAUAAAAGGAUCCUUAUUGUUUAUCCGAGUAAUUAUAAUCUUAAUGAACGAAUAAUGGUAACGGGAUACCGACGAAUGGAAUGCUCGCAAAAACAGGCUAGAUCGCUUGUCGGACACUCGAACCUAUUAGGUUAAACCUCUACUCACGGGUACGAGGUUAACCUCGUGUCAAUUGCGAUUGAUCUAUUAAAUCAUAAGUGCCUCGCCUUCAUUAAUUACCUCGGUCGAGGUCGAUGAUCAAAGCAACUGUUUUCGUGUUCUUUCACGUGUCGAUGUUCAUUUAUUUUUAAUUAUCGAGUUUUGAUUCUAGAUUGAAUAAAUUUUAAAAUUACAUAAUUUAUAUACGUUUGCUAAUUGGAUUAAAUUAAUUGUCAGAUAAAAAUUAUAAUAUGAAAUACAAAAAAAAAAGUUUAAAAAACUUAACUUGAUUUAAUCUAAUUCUAAUAUCACGAAACUUUUAUCUCUUGUAAACCUUGAGACGCAAAAAUACUAGACAGAUCAUUCAUUUAUCAUUCAUCAUAUCAUAUCAUUUUUAGAAUUUUCGAUAGCACAUGUAGAUCAAUCGCAUAUAAUUAAUCGUGUUAUAGGAGUCGUAUCGUAAAUCAUGCAUAUUUCAUUCGAGAAGUUCGAGAAGAUUGCAAACUAUCUCAAACGUAGAAUAUCGAUCGCCAUAUUGUUUCUACAUCUUUGACAUUUCACGCAUGCGCACUUGAUACACUUGUGAAUUCUUCGAGCUAUAAUUUACGAUUACACAUUUCGAAUUUUUUUAUCGUAAGAUACGCGAUUCAAUUGUGAUUUUUUUUUCUCGUUUUCCUCUUUUUCAUUGUUAUAAAUUUACGGAUUACGUCUGAUUCGCCAAUAUGGAGUGCUUAAAUACCGCAAAUGUUCGAACUUUAACGAUAAAAUUGCUAUCUUCGUCUUCGAUCGGCCUCGUGUCGACGAUGUAAUAUCUACGAAAUAAACGCAGAUCUCCGUUUAAAUCGUCGAGUGGAAAGAAAUGGAUGUAUUAAGGGAUAGUAAAAAAGGGGCAUAAUUGCAAAUUUUAUCCAGGCUGAUAUAGUGGAAGAUUAUAGUCCGCGGUAUAGUUAAUCUCGGCCUAAUCAGGCUAUUACUAUCAUUACAGUCCAUUCGAUCUUAAGACUAAAAACCGUUUAAAACGGAAAAAUGUAUUAACGAUCCAUCCAAAGGAAAUGAUAUCGAUCGCGUGUUAAAAUAAAUUACUUUUCUUGUUUCGUGUUGAAAACCUCUGCUCUUUUAGGUUAGCUGCCUACACGAAUACUGGUUUCGAAGUGUCUCUGCUUACUUGAAAAUGUGUUUGUGUUCACGUACGUUUUUGAAUCCAAAUAUUAAUAAAUUUCCCAUCAGUAUGUUGGAUGUUUAACCAGAUAUUUCGACGAAUGGAUGAAAAUUAACUUCGAUCGUAAUAUUUGAAGAUUCACCUAUCAUUCACGAACGACAAAACGUUAUUUAAUAAUUAUAACCUCAAACAGAAAAAUUUAAUAAUUUUAACAUUUGUCCAACGUAUAAAUGUUUCCAUUCCAACAAGAUUCUUCAAUUAAAAGAAGAAAGACGAGGUCACCGUUAAAUUAUCGAACUCUCUCUUGUUUUUGUCGAAAAUCCUUCCAAUUUUCCUCGGCGGAAGCUGGUGGAAUAACUGGUGAAGAAGUGUUAUAAAAACCUUGGAGGAAGCGGAUCACGAUGGAAGGAAGGCACGGAUGGAUAAGAAAUAUAGGGAGAGGAAAGUAGAGAUAAAGCGAAUCGAGGCAUAAAAUGGCUCUCGGCUCUCUCGAAACUUGUCGAGUAAUGUAUUUCUAUUUGCCGACAUUGGCACCCAUGCGGCCGGCCCGUUCCAAGCGCAACCGACUCUUAUUUAUCCGUGGAACCGCCGACCAUGCGAGAGCCAACAAAUCAAAAUCGACAAAGGGAAGCUGUCGGCGCUUCGCUCGUGGCCGACGUGGUGAAGAGUGGCCCGAAGAAGAAACAUUUGUACGAGUAAAUCAACCGGGGAAUGGUACGUGCUUCCCGAACAAUGGAUACCUUGUCGGAGUGGGGGAGGGGGAAGGAGGGAAUUCCGCCAAGGAACGAACGCCUAAGAGGCCUGUUUAUUCCCGAUUGAUUAAAGGCGGAAAGCGGAGAGGAGCAGGAGAUCGCGUGAAAAAUGGAAUUGGGAUUACAGGCUGGAGAGAAGGAGAGAUGAAAUUUUUUUAACUAUUUUAAAAAAAAGUUAAUUGUCAAUUUAAUCGCUUCGAAAUGAACAUUUCGCUAUGAAACUCAGGAUUAUUAAGUAGAUGUAUUUUGAGAAUCGUGUAGAAUGUUUUUAGAAAGAGAUUGUUCUUUGUUAUUUAUAUUCUUUGGAUGUAUCCAUUUGAUACUCAAAUUUUAUAUAUUCAUUCAAAAGGAUAAAUUUAGCAAUAAAUAUAAUCUGCUCUUGUUAAUCUAAAAUCAGUGCAAAAAGAAAAAUUUCUAUUAUCAUUUAUUAUCAAUUUUCAAAAUUAUAGUCCAAGUAUCUACCAAAAGUCUGUGCAAAAGUUAAGAAUUAAUUUCUGUCUUAUUAAUUAUCAACCAUCCAAAAACAUUCAUGCACCAUUCAGUCCAAGAUCAGUUAUUGUGCAAAAAUUAAAAAAAACCUAAUUUUUUUUUUGUAAAUAAAGAAAAGGAUAUAUAACGCAUCGAAGGGAAAAAAAGAACAGAAAUGAGAGAAAGAGGAAGAGGAGGAAAGGGAGCAUUUGUUCAGACGGACGGAUGAAUAUGGCGGAGAGCGUGCAAGCUGUGGCGGAGGCUCGGUGUGGGCAGUACGGUAACCUUCCAGGACAAUGGGUAUCUUGUCGAAGGAUCUACGGGUUAGCGGCAAGAUAAUAGAACGCGGCAGUGUCCGAGGUGGUAGUAUAAACCUGGAUCGCAGAAGGUGGAGUCACCUGUAAAAUGUCGGCACAAUGCCCGACCACGUCACAGGUGUCUCGCGCCGUGAAAGUCCGCCAAGGGUGCGUCGUCAACCGGUGCCCACGUAUCCACGGGACAAUGAGUAAACAGCCGUUGGAUCGAUUGGACGCGUUGUAAUUGCCCCGCCCGAUCCGAUAUUAGUCGUUUAAUUUAUCGGCGACUCGCUCAUGGUUCGACCGAUCGACAUUUCAACUCUGGUAAUUUUAAUCCAAGAUCUCUGAAUUCCUGAGCGAGCUGCAUAAGAUACUUAUAAUUUUCUCAAUAAAAGAAGCUUAAGGAUUGAUCAUCAACGAUUUGGAGCGUAUUAAUCUUUUAAUUGCAGUUUAUAAACUAAAAUUAUAGUCAAAGGCAGUUCUUCAAGAAAAAGGCACGUUGAUCAAAAUAUUGACUAAUAUGAAGCUUUAAUGAAGUCUAAAUUUUAAAGUUUCUAGGGAUGAUCUAAAAGUACCCACAGUUAAAGGAUUAAGAAAAGAGGUCGCAAGAAUUCUCCGAACCCCUGUCACGAAUUCAGAAUCAGAAGCGAGAUAUCUCUCGGAGCGGUGGAAGAAAAAAUUCUCUUCCACAAAGGGAAAGAACAUUGGCCAGGAAUCAAAUCGUGGAAACGGAUCUCGCGCGAUGGCAAUCCAUCAAACGGCGGAGAGAAGAGAGAGAGAGAGGCCGCCUACCGUUACGUAGCAUUCCAAAGGGAGUGUAGCAGCGGUAUCUGCGAAGAUGGAGGCCCGAUACGCACCCGAUAAUACCGAAGGAUGAAUCAUCGGACGGUGGAGGAAGUGGCCGCGGUGAAAAUGUCCGGUUUAGGGGAAGGGGCGGGGGGUGGCGAAACUCUUUCGUGGUCGCGCUAACGAAGAGGGUUGCCGGGUGCCGAUAGACGAUCUGAGCACGGCUGCUACGUCUCGGAUCGAGCAUCGCAUCUGCCAUUAGCAUUCGGCUCCAACCUCUCCUCUCGCCUCGAUGGUGCGACGUCCGCUGUUUAGAUUCGAUCCUCGGCCGGCUAGUCGUGUGCACGAUUCCAUCAAAACGUACCAGCUGAUCAGGAUGCGCUCACUCGUCCACCACGGUUAAUUUAUCUCGUCCCCUCCUCCUGGCCUCUGCCUUCUGCCUUCUGCCGGACGGCUACCGCCCUCUAUUUCCGCCCCGGGAUCGAGAUAUCGGAUCGAUGCUUUCUCGUUUUCGAGAGAGAGAGAGAGAGACGAGUGGAAGGAGAAUUCGUGAUUUUUAACGAGAGGAGAAUCGAUUAAGACUUCUUUUUUUUUUUUUUAUUGAGUCAUCGAAUCGAGUCCUCGUUGAUGAGAAGAGACAAACUUGGAGUCUUAACUAAAUUGAUGAGAUAUGUGUUUCUAAUGGAGAAUCAGAUUUAUUCUUUUUAUUUUUUUUUUAUCAGAAGAGUAUGCCGUUCGAAAAAUAAUUGGCCAAGAUCGAAUCACUUGACACUUGAAGAAGACAAAUUCGAGCAAAGUGUUAACCGAAUUGAUAAAAUUAUUGACAUUUUAUAAUAUAGUAAUCCGAAUCGAAACGAAGAUUUUUCAACGUUUACGCUCGGUCGAUAUAGAGGAAAUUCACUUAUAAAUUUUUAAAUCAUUCUUUUUCAUUCACUAUAUAAUCUAUAUAAUCUCGUCUGAAGAUAUUACUAUCAGAAUAAUAAGUAUAAAUAGAAACUUUUUUUUAUUCCUUGAAUAAUUUCGUAUAAAUUUUUUUUCGCGCGACUUUUUAUUUACUUGCUAUCUAACCUGCUUCUCCAAUCGCGAAUCAGGAUAAUAAUAUAAAUUUUUUCCUCGAAUACUUCAUCGAUUUCGCUAAACAAAAUGUAAGAAAAAAUUCUCUCCCUCUCUCUCUCUCUCUUGAAAAACAACUGGAUGCUUGAAACGAAAGUUGAGAGAAGAGGUUAGAAACGCGGAGCAACACGUGUGCGCGUGGAAAACGUUCCAUUAACGCGAUCCACGCGGCGCGGCUCGGCAUAAAACCACGCCACGACGAGGCCCCGGGUCGAAGUUGCAUCGAUGCGUGGCUCGGUGAAACAGUAUAUCCAUAAUGCAUCUACCACGUCCCGAGCAACUUCCAUCUCGCGACCCGCGCCACGGAUACCCGUCUCUCGAUUCCACCUCGAAUCGAGUUUUACACACACACAUCACACACGCAUGCACGUAACGUUUACACUUACACGUUCCUCGUGCCCCGAUAAAAGCCUCGUUGCGCGCUAAUAAACGCGAGGGGCAACGAUCAGAGCCUCCUCAACGUCCGCCUCGGAUCCGUCGAUGUCGAUGCCGAUUCGACGAGCCCUUAAUGGUACGUGGAAACGAUUUGGAUCGGCGAUCCAAAGCGCAAGUUGAUUUAAUAACGAAACGCCGCUUGUCUGGGGAUGUGGGAGGGAAUAUAUAUGUAUGUAUAUAUAAUGUUGAGAUAGAUUUUAUUUUAUUCUCAGGUGAAGUCUCGAAAGAAGAGGGAGUUUGAGAGAAAUUGUGGAAACUCUGCUCGUGCGAAAUUGGUUACAGCGGUGUUUGAGGAUUGGAAAAUUGAAGAAUUUCUUGGAGUGAAGUUAUUUUACUUUAGAUGGUGAUAAGUGAUAAUGGAGAAAUCUUGUGAUCGAGAAAUCAAUGAUUCGUUUCGAGCGAAAAUUAUUUUAAUAGAAUUGCAUCUAUUUAUGGGAAGUAAUACGAAAUUUCCAUCGAAAAGGAAGUUUA